AUAUACCGGCUGAUGACGUAGUGACGUAACCCUUUCGUUUUCGCGCGUUUACAUAAAUUCUUGCGACUCCAAAAGUCUUUGAACCCUGGAAGGAAAUUGACUCGGCAUAACAAAGAGACGUAGCGAGAAUUCUGUACUGUGAACCCUUUCACUGCAUGUGGCAUUUUUUGCAAUGAAUCCUAAAGAGAGUAAGGCAAAGAAGUGCCUCUUUGGGCGACCAGAUCACGAAGAGCUUGAAAAAGAUAAGAAUGAGUUGUUGAAGAAAGAUUUACAAGAGAUGAACAAAAAGUGGGGCUUCGAUUUCGAGAAAGAGGAACCGAUAGAAAACGAUAGAUUCCAAUGGGAAAAAGUUGGGUCGACUGAAACCGAGAAAGACGAGUCUAGAGUUGGACAGAGCAGCGCUGCGGAAAAAGGGAAGGAUAAUGAACUUGCUAGAAAGCAUUCAGCCGAUAAAUACUCACAGCUUCCUCAAACUCCGCCGAAAAAUGGCAAAUAAUACUUCGUUGUUUAUGUUGCUGCUAGUGCGACCUGAAAUGCGGCGCGGAAAUCACACGGCAAUGUACGGAGCCCUUGCUUUGCCAACAGGAAGCAACUUAGAUAACUGAGAAGUCAUAGUUUGAACAACAUGACCUUCUUCGUCCAACGAUCGAUUCGACCGGAAAUAAGCGGAAAAACACAACCAAUUUUUGAAUUUUCCUUCAAGGGUAACGCUAUGGGAUACUUGUGAGUUGCCAUCAGGUGUUUCAGAUUUAUAUUAUUUAAUUUCACCGUAAUUUAUUACUUUCCGAGUUUCGAAUUUCAGAAAUAGUUACCGAUUGCUCGCCGCUCGAGGUCUUGAAUAAACCCUUCGCUAAUGUAUUUAACACCUUUCAUGUUCUGUAAAACUCUUUAGCAGGUGCGCUCGGGCAGAGUUGGAUUUGCAUGUCGUUUAAAAAUAUAGAAGAAGAUAGACAUUUGUUGGUUUAAAUAAUCCAGUCAAGACAGAUAAGGAGAGAUAAGGUGUACAUCUAUAUGUACAGUGUUAUAAUUGUAACCUGACAGGGACUCAGGCCUUUUCUAGUUUUGUAUAAAUUGUAUGAUUUAAAUAUUUGAACUUAAAAACUGAAUCAUAACUAAGCAAGCGGGUGCCUCCGAAAGUGGUUAGCGUCUUAAUUUAUUGUAUUCAUUGGUAUAAAUGUUCCACUAUCUUAGUAAUUACUAACUGUUCAAUUUUCGUGACAGUUUGUCUGACUAAAGUGUUACUGAAUGUUCCGAAAAUGUUUCGGAACUUAAUUUAUCUGGAAACCCCUUAGCUGAGUUGUUUACCUAUCGUACGCAAUGGGCUGUUAUAUGAAGCGUGGAUGCAAAUAUCGGUCAACUGCGUAUUUAAAACUAAGGACAACUAUUUUGGUUUUCCUCUUGACUGGUCGAAAUAUUGUCACGUUUCAACGCUUUCACACCUUCCAGCAGGCACGCUUCCAAUGAUGCUAGAGCACCGUGACUAACCACAAUAGGUUUUCGAAAACCUUAGACUUCUUCAAUUUUUCCUUUUUUCUUCUUCUCAAUUUUGAGAGCAGUAGGCCAGUCUAUUAUCAUUUUAUAAUGGUGUCAUUUUUCGUUUCAAAUAAAUCUUUGAAUGCGUGCGAAUCUGAUUUUUCUUACAAGAAAUUUCAUUCGUCUGUUUUACGUAACUUUUCAACUGCGUUAGAUAGCAGUUUUACGCAAAGUACUCGAACAGCGAGGAAAUUUUCAAAACAUCAUUUGUUCGGUGAUGUGUAAAAGAUUUGUCCGAUGUCGCCACUUUCAGUCAGCAUUCCAAACUUCAGUUUCUCUCAUUCGCGUGGCACUGUUUCCGGUUCGCUGUGACUCAUACAAAGAGAUAAAAUUCUUGGCUGUGGAAGUUCUUUUUACAAGCAUUUAGGGCCUGAUUACAUGAGCCGAGCUGGCCCGGUUAGCCGGGCUGAAUUCUUUUGUUUUCACGCUUUGGCGAACACCAAAACAAAAGAAAUCAGCCCGGCUAACAGGGCCAGCCCGGCUCAUGUAAUCAGGCCCUUAGAUUUGCGUUCGGAGCUAGGAAUUUUUGUUUGAUAGCGAUAAAAAUGAACUUUUAGUCUUAUCUUCCUGAUAGAUCUGGCUUUUGGGAAGCGUCAUUUCAACAAAUAACUUUUACGUUGAAGUGUUUAUGUUAAAAGAUAAUUAACACCUUUUCAUUUUUCUACUAUCCAGUGACGUUGCUUUCUAUUUGAUAUCAAUCUUUUUUAGAGCAAUUGAGAGGAGAGUACAGACACUUACUGUUGUUUGUCAUCUUGCACAAUUAUUUCGAGGGUUUUGAGCUUCUUUCAACCACUAUUUUUUAUCAUUUUGAGACAAAAUUUUGAACUUUGCGCAUGUUUACCAGGUCAAUCUAGUACUCUGUGGUUGCGUUACGCAAUAGAUAACGGCAUAAAUGGCAAUCAAUGCAUUGAUAUUGACUUCACAAAGUGUGUGAAUUGAUGUCCUUCACACCCAUUUUCUGACAGACAUAAACCUGUGGAAGCUUCCAUCAUGUCAAAUCGUGCCAACAACUUUUCAACGAGCAUUUUUUUCUCGAAAAUAAUAUGAAAUGUCACGGAAUCGCUUAUGCAAACAGAUGUACAAUUUUGACCAAUCUUCGGAAUUAUAAAUUAAUAAUAAAGACAAAGAUUGCUUAAAUCGCACUACUUCAAAUUAAACCAGAUGUGAUGCUUGAAAGCAGAUAUCAUGUUGCAAACGUCGCUUCAGUUUCCAUUCACGCCCAUCUAUGGACGAAGAUUUAUUGUUCUCAAACAGUAAUCUCACUUACAAUCACUCUAAAGUGUUACCAUUCUUUUCAACUCCUUCAAAAACAUUCGUGUUUUUCGAUUAUAGCUUCGAAAAGUCAAUUUCCUUGCUGCUCUUUUUGACGGCGUCAACUGUAAACAAAACUUAAGAACAAAGACUUCUUUGUACAGGAGCUGUCAUAUCUGUCAUCUCAGAUAAAUACAACUGCUGACGUAGCACGUUUUUAUUGGCUGGGAGUAAUUCUCAGGCUAAUCUGUUCGCGUGGCCUUUUACGGCGUGGCGGGAUUCAACUAAAGGGACGCUUGGUAAUUUUUGUAUAUUUUCGUCCCUCCGAUUAAUAUAAACAAUCCUUCCUACAGAAUUAUUUAAUAGUUUGAGGCUGUCCUGUGGAAGUAAGAAAAAUCAAAUAUUCUUCAUUUGGUUAUAAUCGGGUCAGACAGUUUGCCUCCGGUGAAAAAGUGUUAAUGCCCGAAGGGAAGAGAGAAAUAGUACAACCGUUGAGUAAGAUUUUGACAGAGCGACGCCAUCGCUACGCAACAUCUACUACGUUCAUUUUCUCGUUUGGAUUGCAAGUUGAAGUGGUUUGGUGAAUGGAAUCACACUUAAAGGAGGUUCACCUAACUGUCAAUUUGAGAAAAGCGUAGAAUUACUGUUAGUGCUCGAAGAGAAUUGCUACAAGCUAACUUGUAUUGCACUCGAUUUUGGAAUACUAAUCCUCUAGUAUGAUGAGCGUUAGUCGUGACGCGGGCAGAGGACGCGUCAAGGCCGUCAAGAGAAACCUCUUCGGAACAGUUGAUCAUAAGCAAAUUCGAGACGAUUUAGCUAGAGAGUUAAAGUACAUGUCAGAAGAAAAGAAAUGCGAGUGGAAUUUCGAUUUUGAGAAUUGUAAACCGCUUCCAGGUAGAUUCAGGUGGCAGCGAGUUGGUAAAAGACUACAAACGCGUAAGUCGCCAACGGCAGAGAUUUCUGCGUGUGACACGGAAUCCUCCGAAAAUAUUUGUCGACAAAACAUUGUCGAUCCUAUCCACUCUACCGCAAGAUAUAACUUAAGAACUAGAAACGUUAACAGAGAAGUGGAAAAUAUUCAAGAGAGUGGGUCUUUACCGAUCAAGCCUCCGCGGAAACGUGUACGAGAGUUUGGCGAUACGCCGGCUGGAAAUGGAAACAAAAAAGUCGCAGGUAAUUGCGUGAAACAGAGACAUACAAGUGAAAGAAGAGGUAAAACUUCAGUAGUAAAGGCGAAUGAGCGACAGCGAAAUUAUGAGGCGAAGAGAGCUCGACGGUGAUUGAAUCUUGAUCAAAUUUAUGUCUGAAAUUUUGCAACAGUAAAGUUAGGUCGCAAUUUAUCUGCGUCGAGAUUCAAAAUUUUUCCUCGUGGGUAAUUAAAUUCGAUGGAAAUUUACAUCGAGCAAAUUGAAUUCCUCGAGAUUAUUAUCCUUCAGACAAAUCGAUGUUUGAGUUUGUACGUUGAAAAAUUCCUGCUUUUUGUAGUGGCUGAGCAACUUUUAAUGCAAAGACGUACUGUAUUUUCUACAGGAAAUUAGGUUUUAUAAAGUCUUUUAAUUAUCUCGUGCACAGCUUCGUUCUCGAAGCGGUUGUCAUCGAUUUUCAGUUUAGUUUUGGCCAAAUAUUUUGUUGGCGUCGCUUUCCAUGGUUGAGAGAGCACAGAGUAAAAGUUGACGCGACUCACGACUGGAAAGUCAAAUAAUCGAUUAAAAACUUACUUUGUAAAUAACAAAACUGAAAUCAGAGUUUACUUAAGAUUAUAACAGUUAACUGUAAUCAGUGUAUCAUUUUUGAUAGUCUGGCUUUUAAGUUUUUAAAGAAAAGCCGAGAUUUUUUUGUCAGGCCACUGAUCAGGUGAUCUUGAGCAAUUUUCGCGGCAAAAGUACUAAGAUAUAUCAGAUGUUAUGCUGAAACAAUUAAGAUUUCAGUGGCAUGUCAUUGGCAGCAAUUUACAAAAACCUUCGAUUCGAUUUUCGAAGAGACCUUUGUUACAGAUGGUGUGUCACACUCUUUUCUUUUCAACAGGUCAUCAAUUGAUGUAACGUCUUUGUACAGUCAUAGAUCUAUUUUAUUUGUAUUGAUCGGGUACGUUUGACAGCCGCAGUAACAGGAUUACAAUAUGUUAUUGAACAAGCAAUCAAACUCUCCCAGAGACAUGGAAUACACAACACUGAUAAUUGAUCGGCAAAAGCUAGAGUAAAGUGAUAUAUUAAUUCAUAACGAUUUUGUAUUUUGAUGAUGUGCAUUUUGACACAAUAUCUAAUAGAUUAUCAGAUAUAAAUAUUUAUAAAUGGAUAGUUGAAUAGCUGAAAUAAAUUUUAACACAUUACUGAAACUA